rnacentral:rRNA from 1 species
AGCGAACGCUGGCGGCAGGCUUAACACAUGCAAGUCGAGCGGGCGUAGCAAUACGUCAGCGGCAGACGGGUGAGUAACGCGUGGGAACGUACCUUUUGGUUCGGAACAACACAGGGAAACUUGUGCUAAUACCGGAUAAGCCCUUACGGGGAAAGAUUUAUCGCCGAAAGAUCGGCCCGCGUCUGAUUAGCUAGUUGGUGAGGUAACGGCUCACCAAGGCGACGAUCAGUAGCUGGUCUGAGAGGAUGAUCAGCCACAUUGGGACUGAGACACGGCCCAAACUCCUACGGGAGGCAGCAGUGGGGAAUAUUGGACAAUGGGCGCAAGCCUGAUCCAGCCAUGCCGCGUGAGUGAUGAAGGCCCUAGGGUUGUAAAGCUUCUUUUGUGCGGGAAGAUAAUGACGGUACCGCAAGAAUAAGCCCCGGCUAACUUCGUGCCAGCCGCCGCAGUAAU